AGGGGCUUAGGAUAAUUAUUAGACCAAGAGCCUUCAAAGCUUUAAGUAGAAGUUGAAAUCUUCUAGCCCCU
rnacentral:tRNA from 1 species